UUUCCUCAUACUCACAUCCACGUUUUUUACUUUGUUUUCCUUGUUUUCAUUUUCAAUUUUUUCGUUAUCAAUUAAUCUAACUCAUAAAUUAUGAUAUUUUGAUAUUUUUAUGUAAUUUAAAAAAUUAAUAAUAAUAAAACAUGUUGUGACCCGUGCAUCGCAUGAGAGGGGAUAAGCACGAGAGGAGAUAAUAGCUUUGUAGAUAUUAGUUAUAUUGUUCCAUUUAUCUACAAAACUUUUCAAUAUGUACACAAAAAAAUUGUCAUGUUCAUUUAUUUAUAAUAGUAGGGUCCACAUAAUUCACUAUUUUAUUAACGUUCAAUUCUCCAUUAUUUACAAAAUUUGCCACUUAUGAGACUAGCUACUCAAUUUUUAACUACUUAAUUGAAAUUAUACUUACAACACUAUUAUUUAUUGAAUUAAAAUUUAUAUCGUUCAUAAUAUAAUAAUUUUUUCGUGAACGAAUGAAAUACUAACUAAUGAAAAGUUACUAUACGAUCCGUCCUCAACUAUAUUUGAUGUACCUUGUUCUCCUUUUAAUGAAAAACCAGAUUGCCCUUUAUUGCAUCCAGAAUCUUAAGAUUAAUAAACUUAAGAACAAACUUCUUUUGAAAUAUGUUUCCUGGAACAUUAAUCAAACUUAAUUUACACUAUAUUAAAAUGCAAUUUUAAAUUAUUUUAAAUUAAUUU
rnacentral:lncRNA from 1 species